CAGUAACUUCACAAAACUAUGAUAAUCUUUUUUAUAUUUUUAUCAAUUGGCCGUAUUUUGUGCCUUUGAUAUUUUUACGCUUUAUUACUUACAUAUUUCGGAUAAAGCCAGAAAAUCUACAGCAAAAAAAAAUCUUAGUUCAUAUUUCAAAAAAUUCAAACGCAAUUCAGCUAAACUGGAGAAGAAAAAUUGAAAGCUUAUUCGAAUACGGGCUGCGAGCGGCAAUCCGGUGCGGGAUUGGCUUUCACGCGCCGCAAAUUCAAAGUCAACGGGGAAAUUUGAAAGCUGUUUGGUGCUGAAGAGAACGACGCGAGGUAGUAGAUGGAGUACCGACGGCGUAAUUAAGAGAAAUCGUGGAUGAAUUGAGCCGCUUAUUCAGCAGUUGGCUGGGCUGUCAACAAUCAGCUGACAUUGUCGCAAUCCGCUGCGAUCAGAUGUUUUCUUGCUUCGGAAUCAGAUGUUUUAUCCACGAGCCGAGAUUCAAACCGAAACAACAACAGCUGUUUGAAUCCUGCAUGGGAGCCAGGGAUGAUGAUUGUUAUUCCGGGGGUGAUUUCAGGGAUGGAUUUUGGAAUUGCCACCAUAUUGAAAUUCGUAUUGUAGCCAUUCCGUCUUAAUACAGGCAUACCUCGACUUAUCACGUUAACGGGUUCCAUGAAAGUGCGCUAUAAGUCGAAGCUUGAGAAAUACAGGGUUCGGCAGCAUAACUUCGUUUUUUAAAAACUCAAUAAAAACUAUUGUAUGCA